rnacentral:rRNA from 1 species
AACGAACGCUGGCGGCAGGCUUAACACAUGCAAGUCGAGCGGGCAUAGCAAUAUGUCAGCGGCAGACGGGUGAGUAACGCGUGGGAAUCUACCCAGCCCUAUGGAAUAACGCAUGGAAACGUGUGCUAAUACCAUAUACGCCCUAACGGGGAAAGAUUUAUCGGGGAUGGAUGAGCCCGCGUUGGAUUAGCUAGUUGGUGGGGUAAAGGCCUACCAAGGCGACGAUCCAUAGCUGGUCUGAGAGGAUGAUCAGCCACAUUGGGACUGAGACACGGCCCAAACUCCUACGGGAGGCAGCAGUGGGGAAUAUUGGACAAUGGGCGCAAGCCUGAUCCAGCCAUGCCGCGUGAGUGAUGAAGGCCCUAGGGUUGUAAAGCUCUUUCACCGGAGAAGAUAAUGACGGUAUCCGGAGAAGAAGCCCCGGCUAACUUCGUGCCAGCCGCCGCCGUAACAC